AAAGUAUUUAAUCUUGGUACAGUUUGAACGUUAUCUGGUAGUUUAACUCAUGCAAGUCAACUUUUUAUUAUAAAAAAGUGGCGAAAGGCGAGGAUAAACAAAUAUAUACCCCUAAUCAUUUGUAUUAAGGAUUAAUUUGAUUUCUAGCAGGUAGUAAAUAAAAUAUUUUAGCCAUACGGAUAGGAAAGGGCGAAAGCCUCAAUUCCCGCAGUCGGUUUGAGAAUAACCGGUCGUGUGAUUAUACACGCAGCAGAGGAGAAUCUUGGGCAAUGCUCGAAAGAGUGACCCAGCUAACCAGAACUUCCUAUGCCCUUAGGGCGGAAGUGUCGUAAGGGAGGAUAAUGACGUUACCUUACUAUUAGUCCAAUCUAAGUAUCGUGCCAGCAGACGCGGUUAUACGAACUGGGCAAACGUUAAAUAUUUAAAUAGGUAUUAAGGAUCUGUAGGCGGUAUAAUAAUUAUUUAUACUAGAAUCUAAUAGAGGUUAACGGAAUACUAGAAGUAGGGCUGAUAUCCAUUGAGAUCUAGUAGAACACUAAAAGCGAAAGCAGUUAACCAAGUAAAGAUUGACGCUGAGGGAUGAAAGUCUGGGGAGCAAAACGGAUUAGAUACCCGUGUAGUCCAGACCGUAAACGAUUUACACUUUAUAUUUGGAUAAAAUUAAAAAAUUCAGAUAAGAAGCAAACAGCAGUUAGUGUAACACCUUGUAAGUACAGCCACACGGCAGAAAGCAAAAAGAUUAGACUAUCUUGAAAACCCGGAGUGGAGCAUGUUGUUUAAUACGAUAACCCGCGUAGAAUCUUACCUCUCCUUGCAUUAUUUAUUAAAUUAAAUAACAGGCGUUGCAUGGCUGUCGACAGUUCGUGUCGUGAGAUGUCAGGUUAAGUCCGCUAACGAACGCAAUCCUUGUUAAUACCGAUAUAGUAUUAAUAUAUAUCUUCCACAAGAAAUAUUUUAGGAAUAUGACAAGCCUUCAUGACCCUUAUGGAGUAUGGGCUACAGACGUGCUACUUGUAUCUAACAAACUGAUGCAAUACUGCAAAGUGGAGCUAACCAGUAAAAUAAGAUUAUAUAGGAUUGUAGUCUGAAAUUCGACUACAUGAAUUAGGAAUUCCGAGUAAUCGUUGAUAAGUACGCAACGGUGAAAUAUUACAUUUUUGAGGUACUAAUUGUCUAUCAGGCGUCGGCCGUAGGAGAAUCACGUAUACUACUAAUAAUAAUUAUAAUUUUGUUAUUAUUAUUAGUAAAUAGAUUGGUAAGCCUAUUUCUGAGGUCAAGUUAUAGCAAAGUAACCGUAAAUGAAUUUGUGGUUG
rnacentral:rRNA from 1 species